rnacentral:tRNA from 1 species
GGAGGAUAUCCCGAACGGUUGAGGGAACGGUUUGCUAAACCGUGGCCGAGUGAUCGGUCGGUGGGUUCGACUCCCACAUCCUCCGCAA